UACGGAGGGUGCGAGCGUUGUCCGGAAUCACUGGGCGUAAAGGGCGCGUAGGCGGCCUGAUAAGUAGGGGGGUGAAAUCCUGCGGCUUAACCGCAGGGCUGCCUUCUAAACUGUCAGGCUAGAGCACGGUAGAGGCAGAUGGAAUUCCCCGGUGUAGCGGUGGAAUGCGUAGAGAUCGGGAAGAACAUCAGUGGCGAAGGCGGUCUGCUGGGCCGUUGCUGACGCUGAGGCGCGACAGCGUGGGGGAGCAAACAGG
rnacentral:rRNA from 1 species